GACAGGUGAAUCAAACUGAAAAAAGGAUAAAAAGUUGUUUACAGAAGUCUUAAGUGCAAACAGAUGUUUCUCUCUAUCUCUCUCUCUCUCUCUGUGUGUGUGUGUGUGUGUCUCUCUCUCUCUCUCUCAGCUUUCCCGAUGAAAUGCAAAGUCGAUGACAGUGAUCUAGAUUAAAGUUCUAAAUGGAGGAGGAAGUGCUUUGACCAAACAGAAAUAAUGAGGAAACUGAUACCGAGAGAAUCCACCCCGGGUCUGGACGGUCACAUGAGAUGGAGACAUGACACCCCGGGUCUGGGCGGUCACAUGAGAUGGAGACAUGACACCCCGGGUCUGGGCGGUCACAUGAUAUGGAGACAUGACAGCGAAAGAAAAACAACAACCAUGACUUACCUCAAUGUGAUGGAGGGAGUUUUGAUGUCUCUCCAAAAGAUGCUGGCAUACAACUGAAUGCAUUUCGCUUGCGAGUAUCAUAGCCAUGACGAAUUCGCCGGUAAUACCGUACUCGCUCCUAUAAAGCAAAACAAAGGCUGUUGGAGUUUCUUCAUCCGGAAGGCAUCUCCUCAUUGCUUUCUUUCGUGGCUGAUUUGCGACGACGGCUAGUUAGUCACCGUCUGCAACUCAUUGCAGUCAUCGGCAGGAAGCAAUUCAUGAAAUGAACAAUUUCAAUGCAGAAAC